GGAGACGUGGCCGAGUGGUCGAAGGCGCUCCCCUGCUAAGGGAGUAAACGGAAACGUUUCGAGGGUUCGAAUCCCUUCGUCUCCGCCA
rnacentral:tRNA from 1 species